rnacentral:rRNA from 1 species
AAUUUUGCGCAAUGGGGGAAACCCUGACGCAGCAACGCCGCGUGAAUGUUAAGCCCUUCGGGGUGUAAAGUUCUGUCAGUGGGGACGAAACUUGACGGUACCCACAAAGGAAGCACCGGCUAACUCCGUGCCAGCAGCCGCGGUAAUACGGAGGGUGCAAGCGUUGUCCGGAAUCAUUGGGCGUAAAGAGUUCGUAGGUGGUAUGUUAAGUCUGGUGUUAAAGCCCGAAGCUCAACUUCGGUUCGGCACUGGAUACUGGCAAACUUGAAUGCGGUAGAGGUAAAGGGAAUUCCUGGUGUAGCGGUGAAAUGCGUAGAUAUCAGGAGGAACAUCGGUGGCGUAAGCGCUUUACUGGGCCGUAAUUGACACUGAGGAACGAAAGCCGGGGUAGCAAAUGGG